rnacentral:rRNA from 1 species
AACGAACGCUGGCGGCAUGCCUAACACAUGCAAGUCGAACGAAGCCUUCGGGCUUAGUGGCGCACGGGUGCGUAACACGUGGGAAUCUGCCCUUAGGUACGGAAUAACUCAGGGAAACUUGAGCUAAUACCGUAUGAUGUCUUCGGACCAAAGAUUUAUCGCCUAAGGAUGAGCCCGCGUCGGAUUAGCUAGUUGGUGGGGUAAAGGCCUACCAAGGCGACGAUCCGUAGCUGGUCUGAGAGGAUGAUCAGCCACACUGGGACUGAGACACGGCCCAGACUCCUACGGGAGGCAGCAGUGGGGAAUAUUGGACAAUGGGCGAAAGCCUGAUCCAGCAAUGCCGCGUGAGUGAAGAAGGCCUUCGGGUUGUAAAGCUCUUUUACCCGGGAAGAUAAUGACUGUACCGGGAGAAUAAGCCCCGGCUAACUCCGUGCCAGCCGCCGCCGUAAAAC